GACAGAGGGUGCAAACGUUGUUCGGAAUUACUGGGCGUAAAGCGAGUGUAGGCGGUUUGGUAAGUCGGAUGUGAAAGCCCUGGGCUCAACCCAGGAAGUGCAUUCGAUACUGUCAAGCUAGAGUAUCGGAGAGGUUGGUGGAAUUCUCGGUGUAGAGGUGAAAUUCGUAGAUAUCGAGAGGAACACCGGUGGCGAAGGCGGCCAACUGGACGAAUACUGACGCUGAGGCGCGAAAGCGUGGGGAGCAAACAGG
rnacentral:rRNA from 1 species